CGGACGGGUGAGUAAUGUCUGGGAAACUGCCUGAUGGAGGGGGAUAACUACUGGAAACGGUAGCUAAUACCGCAUAACGUCGCAAGACCAAAGAGGGGGACCUUAGGGCCUCUUGCCAUCGGAUGAACCCAUAUGGGAUUAGCUAGUAGGUAAGGUAACGGCUUACCUAGGCGACGAUCCCUAGCUGGUCUGAGAGGAUGAUCAGCCACACUGGGACUGAGACACGGCCCAG
rnacentral:rRNA from 1 species